rnacentral:rRNA from 1 species
ACGCGCGGAACCUUACCAGGUCUUGACAUCCCAUUGACCGCUAUGGAGACAUAGCUUUCCCUUCGGGGACAGUGGUGACAGGUGGUGCAUGGUUGUCGUCAGCUCGUGUCGUGAGAUGUUGGGUUAAGUCCCGCAACGAGCGCAACCCUUGAUCUUAGUUGCCAGCAUUCAGUUGGGCACUCUAAGGUGACUGCCGGUGACAAACCGGAGGAAGGUGGGGAUGACGUCAAAUCAUCAUGCCCCUUAUGACCUGGGCUACACACGUGCUACAAUGGACGGUACAAACGGUUGCCAACCCGCGAGGGGGAGCUAAUCCGAUAAAACCGUUCUCAGUUCGGAUUGUAGGCUGCAACUCGCCUACAUGAAGCCGGAAUCGCUAGUAAUCGCGGAUCAGCAUGCCGCGGUGAAUACGUUCCCGGGCCUUGCACACACCGCCCGU